GGGGUUUUAGCUUAAUUGGGAAAGCUUCUGUUUUGCAAACAGAAAGAUAUCGGUUCAAAUCCGUUAGACUCCACCA
rnacentral:tRNA from 2 species